AUUGAACGAUGGCGGCAGGCCUACCACAUGCAAGUCGAACGAGUGGCGGACGGGUGAGUAAUGUCUGGGAAACUGCCCGAUGGAGGGGGAUCACUACUGGAAACGGUAGCUAAUCCCACCUACCAUAGGCUGUGCCCAGAUGGGAUUAGCUAGUAGGUGGGGUAACGGAGACCCUAGCCGACGAGCCCUAGCUGGUCUGAGAGGAUGACCAUCCACACUGGAACUGAGACACGGUCCAGAAUCCUACGGGUGGCAGCAGUGGGGAAUCUUGCACAAUGGGCGAAAGCCUGAUGCAGCCAUGUCGCGUGUAUGAAGAAGGCCUUCGGGUUGUAAAGUACUUUCAGCGAGGAGGCGUUACUCGCAGAAGAAGCACCGGCUAACUACGUGCCAGCAGCGGCGGUAAUAC
rnacentral:rRNA from 1 species